rnacentral:tRNA from 1 species
AAUGAAUUGCCUGAAUAAAGGAUUACUUUGAUAGAGUAAAUUAUGUAAAAUAAUUACAUUCAUUA